GCGAGUGAAGCGGCAAGAGCUCAGAUUUGAAAUCGUGCUUUGCGGCACGAGUUGUAGAUUGCAGGUUGGAGUCUGUGUGGAAGGCGGUGUCCAAGUCCCUUGGAACAGGGCGCCUAGGAGGGUGAGAGCCCCGUGGGAUGCCGGCGGAAGCAGUGAGGCCCUUCUGACGAGUCGAGUUGUUUGGGAAUGCAGCUCCAAGCGGGUGGUAAAUUCCAUCUAAGGCUAAAUACUGGCGAGAGACCGAUAGCGAACAAGUACUGUGAAGGAAAGAUGAAAAGCACUUUGAAAAGAGAGUGAAACAGCACGUGAAAUUGUUGAAAGGGAAGGGUAUUGCGCCCGACAUGGGGAUUGCGCACCGCUGCCUCUCGUGGGCGGCGCUCUGGGCUUUCCCUGGGCCAGCAUCGGUUCUUGCUGCAGGAGAAGGGGUUCUGGAACGUGGCUCUUCGGAGUGUUAUAGCCAGGGCCAGAUGCUGCGUGCGGGGACCGAGGACUGCGGCCGUGUAGGUCACGGAUGCUGGCAGAACGGCGCAACACCGCCC
rnacentral:rRNA from 1 species